rnacentral:lncRNA from 1 species
GGCGAAAACCGCAUUGUUCCUCUUCAAUCCGAGGUUCGACGAUCGGCCGAACCCUCCUUUCCAGCACCUUUGAAUAGACUUUACCAGGGAGGCUGAGAAGUGUGAUACCCCGGUAAUUGGCACACACUCUCUGGUCCCCCUUUUUGAACAGGGGAACCACCACCCCGGUUUGCCACUCCUUUGGCACUGUACCCGACUCCCACGCGAUGUUGAAUGGGCGUGUCAACCAUGACAGCCCCUCAACACCCAGAGCCUUUAGCAUUUCUGGCUGGAUCUCAUCAAUCCCUGGGGCUUUGCCACUACGGAGAUGUUUGACUACCUCAGUGACCUCCACGAGGGAAAUUGACGACAAAACACCAUCAACCUCGAGCUCUGCCUCCAACAUAGAGGGCGUGUUAUUCGGAUUCAGGAGUUCCUCAAAGUGUUCCUUCCAACGUCCGACGACCUCCUCAGUUGAGGUCAACAGAGUCCCAUCCUUACCAUACACAGCUUGGAUGGUUCCCCGUUUCCCCCCCCUGAGGUGCCGGAUAGUCUUCCAGAAACACUUUGGUGCCGACCGAAAGUCCUUCUCCAUGGCCUCUCCGAACUUCUCCCACACCCGCUGCUUAGCCUCCGACACGGCAGCAGCUGCAGCCCUUCGAGCCUGUCGGUACCCUGCAACCGAGUCAGGAGUCCUCCAGGAUAUCAUAUCCCGGAAGGCCUCCUUCUUCAAUCGGACGGCUUCCCUGACCACCGGUGUCCACCACGGUGUCCGAGGGUUACCGCCCCUUGAGGAGCCUAAGACCCUGAGGCCACAGCUAGCCACCGCAGCUUCAGCAAUGGAGGCUUUGAACACCGCCCACUCCGGCUCAAUGCCCCCAACCGCCACAGGAAUGCCAGAAAAACUCCGCCGGAGGUGUGAGUUGAAGAAACCCAGGAGGGGGCCUCCUCCAGACGUUCCCAGUUCACCCGCACUACUCGUUUGGGCUUACCAGGUCUAUCCGGAAAAUUCCCCCAUUCCCUGAUCCAACUCACAACCAGAUGGUGGUCG